GAGGGGGAGGGCGCAGAGGAAGAGCGCCGUAGUCGCGGCGGCUGGAGUCGGAGCAAGGGGGGACGGUUUCAAAAAAUAAUUAAAAAUCGAGGAAAUAUCCUAGAAAAGCCCUUUUGGCGUGAAAACCCCAAAGAGGACCCAGGCUUCCCGAAACGGAGUUUUCGGGUGCUGGAAAGGUCUGUAUCUCGACCCUUGGGGCCUUGGAUCCUGAGGGGAAACUUGGAGGGGUGAGCGCCGCGGCGGGAGUGUCCGGCUGCGGCCCACAAGGGCAGAAACUAGGGGACGUGGUGACGAGCUGGGGGAAAGAGGAGGACCGGGGAGCCGCCGGAGAGAGGCACAGGAACUCUGAUCUCCCCUUUAGCGGUACCCCGAUAUCCCCCCUACACACACCUCCUCCCCCACUUCCCACCCCACCCAAAUCUCCGCACCGAAGAUACUGGAAAGCCAAACUGAGACUAUAAGGUUAAAACUGGCUCUUACAAGGAUCGAAGUUGAAAGCGUCCCUUCCAGAAGAUGCCAUGGCAUCAGUCUAGACUCAACUUGAUGUCUGCUCUCUCUGUCUACAUCUCCAGUCCUGGACAGUCAGACUUGGUGCCUGGUGUUGAUCUCAAGCCAGAAGAAACCCUGACUCAGAUCACCAUGAAGAUGGUGUCCACUUCUCUGUGCUCGCUAAGAGAAGGGAAAAAGUAGACUCCUGUUUGUGAGAGAUUCCUUUGUAUAGAGAAUUGAAACAUAAAGGAUUUUUUUCAAGUUAACAUUCAGCUCAUAAAAAUGGACCUUGGAAAAACAUCUCCAAACUCUGUAUGUUUUCGUCAAUUGACCUUUUUACUGUAACAAGGAAGUUGGAAGCCACAAAUAAAUUGGGGAAGAAGGUAUAGACUUCACCAAAAAGAUUUGUUGCCUAAGCCAGACGCUCUCUCACAGUGCUCCUUUAAAUCGAGAGCAUGUCUGGUACAUUUUAAAUGGUUUCAUUCACUUGAAAGUGAGAUUUAUAUAUUCCAUUCAGAAAACAGGCAAAGUGUACUUGAUUUUGAAGUCCUUAAAAAUCAUAUGUGAAGACUGAAAAAGGCAUUUGAAUCUUACCUCCUUUAAAGGGGAGGAAACAGCAACCUGGAGAAAUUAAGUGACUUGGUCACUUCGCAAGGCUUUGUCUGUGGCAAGCUGUCCAGUGUCCAGCUUUCUCCUACUACUGUGCAUCUUCUUGUAUCCGAAAUAUCUGACUGUCCUUUGUUAGGACUCUACCUGGUCCUCAGCUGCCGUCACAGAUAGUUAAUCAUUGAUCCCCCUCUUGGAUUUUUUUGUAUUAUUGUUUCUUUUUCUUAUGGAAAAUGUUCAAACAUAAAGGCAGAGGAUAUAAUAUAAAUAGCUCCCAUGUGCUCCUCACUCAGCUUCUACAAUUAUUAACAUAUGGCCAAUCUUCUUUUAUCUAUACCUAUCUCUAGUUCCCCCCUACACAGAUGAUUUUUAAAGUAAAUCCAAACAUCAUGUAACUUCAUCUAUAAAUACUCCAUGUGGAACCAUGUAAGAAGAACCCUCAUAUGUAUUUAAUACGAUUAUCACAACGAACAAAAAUCAAUAAUUCCUUAAUCUCAUCAAA